rnacentral:rRNA from 1 species
UACGUAGGGGGCAAGCGUUGUCCGGAUUUAUUGGGCGUAAAGAGCGCGUAGGCGGCCUGCUAAGUCGAACGUGAAAUCCCCGAGCUCAACUCGGGAACUGCGUCCGAUACUGGCAGGCUUGAAUCCGGGAGAGGGAUGCGGAAUUCCAGGUGUAGCGGUGAAAUGCGUAGAUAUCUGGAGGAACACCGGUGGCGAAGGCGGCAUCCUGGACCGACAUUGACGCUGAACGGCGAAAGCUAGGGGAGCAAACAGG